UACGUAGGGGGCAAGCGUUAUCCGGACUUACUGGGUGUAAAGGGAGCGUAGACGGCAAGGCAAGUCUGAAGUGAAAUCCCGUGGCUCAACUGCGGAACUGCUUUGGAAACUGUCAUGCUUGAGUGCAGGAGAGGUAAGUGGAAUUCCUAGUGUAGCGGUGAAAUGCGUAGAUAUUAGGAGGAACACCAGUGGCGAAGGCGGCUUACUGGACUGUAACUGACGUUGAGGCUCGAAAGCGUGGGGAGCGAAC
rnacentral:rRNA from 1 species